rnacentral:rRNA from 1 species
CAGUCGCGCGGGAAUACGUAGGGGGCGAGCGUUGUCCGAAGUUACUGGGCGUAAAGCGCGCGUAGGCGGCUUCUUAAGUCUGAGGUGAAAGGUUCAACGCUUAACGUGAACAGUGCCUUGGAUACUGGGGAGCUUGAGUAUGGGAGAGGGCAGUGGAAUGGCUGGUGUAGCGGUGAAAUGCGUAGAUAUCAGUCGGAACACCCAUGGCGAAGGCAGCUGCCUGGCCUAAUACUGACGCUGAGGUGCGAAAGCGUGGGGAGCAAAUGGGAUUAGAUACCCCCGUAGUCCCUGUCUCUUAUAC